UGCACAAACAAAAUAAAUAUAAAUAAAAGAACCUUAACAAUCCACAAAGAUUAGAAUUAAAAAGGAUUUAUUGUGGAAACGAUAAUUAGUUAUGCAAGUAUGAAACUAAGAUACAAAUUAUGUGCCCUGUAACAACAAUGAUGCUGUAGAUGAACUGCAAAUGACACUGGCAUAAAAUGGCCCAGUAGGAGAGAAAAGAAACCCUUUUUUUUUUUUUAAAUGGAAAUCCCUUAUCAGACUCCCAGUAACAAUAAUUUUCAACAAUCAAAACCUUCCCUUUUUCUUUAAUUUCAGAAAACAAUCUUAUGAUAGCAAAAA
rnacentral:misc_RNA from 1 species